rnacentral:antisense_RNA from 1 species
CCUUCCCGCCCGCGGCUCACUCUCCACGGUGAGUUUGGCCUGUGUCUUGUCAUCCGGCGUCUCGCAGCCAAAGAAGCCACGGUCGGCAAAACCUACGUUGUGCAGAACCAGGCGGUGGCGGGCGCCCUCGGCGUGGAUCUCCACGUUCUUUCCCGGCGCCAGGGCCGUCGCGUUCCGUGUCCACCUCAGCUCCGGCCACGGCCGCGUCAGCUCCACCUCCAGGGUCACCGAGCUCCGCUCCUCCACCGUCUGCGGCUCCAGCUUCUUUUUGAACAGCACAGGCGCCUCUGGGGUCGCAGGAGAGGGGAGGUCACGGUGGCCCUCGCCCUCCUCCACGGACAAGCCAAGGUGCACCUGCAGGAUUGUAUCUUCUCUAUACCAAGAGAAGGCACCUGGCCCAUCCAGCCUACCCGAGUCUCCUCUCUGCAGCCCACACACCUCGUGUCUCCUGAGGUCAGCCGGACCAGCUGUAACAGGACAGCAGUUCCAGGUGCCCACUCAGAACCAGCCCACAGGGGAGGUGCCUGUGCAAGGAGCCCUGGCCAGCCAG